GACGAACGCUGGCGGCGUGCUUAACACAUGCAAGUCGAACGGAAAGGCCCUGCUUUUGUGGGGUGCUCGAGUGGCGAACGGGUGAGUAACACGUGAGUAACCUGCCCUUGACUUUGGGAUAACUUCAGGAAACUGGGGCUAAUACCGGAUAGGAGCUCCUGCUGCAUGGUGGGGGUUGGAAGGUUUCGGCGGUUGGGGAUGGACUCGCGGCUUAUCAGCUUGUUGGUGGGGUAGUGGCUUACCAAGGCUUUGACGGGUAGCCGGCCUGAGAGGGUGACCGGCCACAUUGGGACUGAGAUACGGCCCAGACUCCUACGGGAGGCAGCAGUGGGGAAUAUUGCACAAUGGGCGGAAGCCUGAUGCAGCAACGCCGCGUGCGGGAUGAAGGCCUUCGGGUUGUAAACCGCUUUCGCCUGUGACGAAGCGUGAGUGACGGUAAUGGGUAAAGAAGCACCGGCUAACUACGUG
rnacentral:rRNA from 1 species